AUUAACAAAGCAAGCAUAUGCCAAUUAUGACAUGGACUGCCCAAUUAAAAGUUCACUUUUUGUAACGGACAACUGACAUCAAAUAAUCAAUGUCUCUUUUAGUGUUCGCUCUCGAAUUAUAUCUGCUUAAAUAAUUAAUUAAUAUCAAUGGAAAGGUAUUAAUUCCACCUGUACAUACAUGUACACGACUGAAAAUUUAAAUAGUUUUCAUAUUGUAUUGCAUCCAUGAAUGAACAUCGAACGGAUAACGCGUAUGUGAGAAGAGAGCAUAACCCCAGUGGAUUAUAUUCAUCAGAAUUCUGAACGUUAUAGUUUUUACCUGACUAGGUUAUUUAACAGAGCAAGUGACUAUACUUCUUAUUAUUGUUUGGUUUUGUCCAAGUUCGUCGACAAAAACUCAAGAAUGAGUCUAAUGGUACUAGCAUACAAACGAUGGUUGAUUGUCCCUUACUUAUUUAUUGUAUUCUGUGUUUGGAUAAUGUACAUGAAGUUUGGAAAAGAUCAUUCGGAUGUUGUUAUACCUGGUAAUAAAACAGGACCACAUUGAAAAAGGCAAACGGUAGGAGAAAACUAAAUGAACGGAAAACUCAGCUACGUUCUCGCUGUGGAUACCAAGAAAGGGAACCAAAGGAUCAUAUAGAGGGAUCUUUCUUAGGAUGAAGCAAUUGUUUUGCCAAAAUAACAACUUGCUAUAAUAGUUAACAAAAUGCAUGGUUAACUAAUUUUGUAUACAAAAAAAAAAUACUUUUGCACCAUAGCUGUCCGAAACCCUGUCGUAAUCAUCUAAUGCGUACUUAUGAUUGAGAGCGAGAGAAAAAAAUUCGAACGAAUAGAUUUGAUCCUGCAUGUACGACAGUGAGAGUAAAUGUUCACUUUAUUUACUGGUCGAACAUCAUCUUUGUACAUGAGUGAGAUUUUAAGCCGACGUUGGAUGAUAUUGCCAUUUCUGUUCCUGACAUUGUUUGUGUGGCUGGCGUACAUGUAUUUCGGACAGGAAAGGGGGCAAAACGAAUUGUCAGCUAACGAGAAUCCUUUCAAGCCUUUAAUUGAUUUUUUUAAGAAGCUUUAUAAAGGUUUAGCUUAAUGGCAUUUCAAAAUGAUCAUCGCCUUGACAAUUUUAAAAAUUGAAACAGAUGCUCGGACAACAUAGCUUACAUAUGAGGUUCUCAUUGAGACAAACUAUGCAGGAAUUUAGAAGGGAUUUGUACUUGGCAAUUCAGUGGACUUAUGUUUACCAAAAGCGGAAGUCGUCGCUUUCACCGAGAAGAAGAUGGAAACAAUUAUAUAUAUAUUUAUUUUUAUACAACCAUGAGUAUACCGUGUUUGCCCCUCCACACUGAGGAGAGUUCAAGUGCUACCAUUGGUCAACAAUAAUGUA